CGGCUGCUAAGACCCGAUGUGCCGAGAGGUGAAAGUAUUUAUAGCCUGUAGAUGAGCUCGCGUCUGAUUAGCUAGUUGGUGAGGUAAGGGCUUACCAAGGCGACGAUCAGUAGCUGGUCUGAGAGGAUGAUCAGCCACACUGGGACUGAGACACGGCCCAGACUCCUACGGGAGGCAGCAGUGGGGAAUUUUCCGCAAUGGGCGAAAGCCUGACGGAGCAACGCCGCGUGCGGGAGGAAGGCCUUAGGGUUGUAAACCGCUUUUCUCAAGGAAGAACAGAAUGACGGUACUUGAGGAAUCAGCCUCGGCUAACUUCGUGCCAGCAGCCGCGGUAAUACGAAGGAGGCAAGCGUUAUCCGGAAUUAUUGGGCGUAAAGCGUCCGUAGGCGGUUGAGCAAGUCUGUCGUCAAAGCGUGAGGCUUAACCUCAUACAGGCGAUGGAAACUGUUUGACUAGAGUGCAGUAGGGGUAGCGGGAACUCCCGGUGUAGCGGUGAAAUGCGUAGAUAUCGGGAAGAACACCAGAGGCGAAGGCGCGCUACUGGGCUGCAACUGACGCUGAUGGACGAAAGCUAGGGGAGCGAAAGGGAUUAGAUACCCCUGUAGUCCUAGCUGUAAACGAUGGACACUAGGUGUUGCGCGAAUCGACCCGUGCAGUGCCGUAGCCAACGCGUUAAGUGUCCCGCCUGGGGAGUACGCACGCAAGUGUGAAACUCAAAGGAAUUGACGGGGGCCCGCACAAGCGGUGGAGUAUGUGGUUUAAUUCGAUGCAACGCGAAGAACCUUACCAAGGCUUGACAUCCUGCGAAUCCUGCCGAGAGGUGGGAGUGCCUUCGGGAGCGCAGAGACAGGUGGUGCAUGGCUGUCGUCAGCUCGUGUCGUGAGAUGUUGGGUUAAGUCCCGCAACGAGCGCAACCCACGUUCUCAGUUGCCAGCAUUAAGUUGGGCACUUUGGGGAGACUGCCGGUGACAAACCGGAGGAAGGUGUGGACGACGUCAAGUCAUCAUGCCCCUUACGUCUUGGGCUACACACGUACUACAAUGCUGCGGACAGAGGGACGCGAAGCCGCGAGGUGAAGCAAAUCCCAGAAACCGUGGCACAGUUCAGAUUGCAGGCUGCAACU
rnacentral:rRNA from 1 species